GUCUAUUAGCCUGGACAUGCCAGAUCUCAUCUGAUCUUGGAAGCUAAGUAAUAUUGGUUCUGGCUAGUACAUGGAUAGGAGAAAUAAAUACUAGUAAACU
rnacentral:rRNA from 1 species